rnacentral:tRNA from 1 species
GCCGUGAUCGUAUAGUGGUUAGUACUCGUGCGUUGGGCCCCAGCAACUCCGGUUCGAAUCCGGGUCACGGCA